GCGAAGGUGGCGGAAUUGGUAGACGCGCUAGCUUCAGGUGUUAGUGUUCUUACGGACGUGGGGGNUUCNAAGUCCCCCCCCUCGCACCA
rnacentral:tRNA from 1 species